GAUGAACGCUGGCGGCGCGCCUAACACAUGCAAGUCGAACGGAGUUAUCUUAUUAGAUCCCUUCGGGGUGAAGAUUUUUUAACUUAGUGGCGAACGGGUGAGUAACGCGUGAGUAACCUGCCUUCAAGAGGGGGACAACAGUUGGAAACGACUGCUAAUACCGCAUAAUAUAUCGAGAUCGCAUGAUAUUGAUAUCAAAGGAGCAAUCCGCUUGAAGAUGGACUCGCGUCUGAUUAGAUAGUUGGUGAGGUAACGGCUCACCAAGUCUACGAUCAGUAGCCGGACUGAGAGGUCGAUCGGCCACAUUGGGACUGAGACACGGCCCAGACUCCU
rnacentral:rRNA from 1 species